rnacentral:sRNA from 1 species
UCACUGAGUGGAAUCCCAACCCAAGGGACAGAAAAACCACAGCAAGGAAACCAGUGUCUGCUGAAACUGAUGUCUCCCCCCGAGUUACUUCACUCUCUCACAGUGAAAAGUGUUGAUGGUUGUUACCACAUUUCCUGUGUGACCCCAGACCGGGUCUGGGUCAGUGAUAGAAACAAUCUCAUCUUGACAGACACAACAGGUGUCCCUCUACAUCGUGUGGAGGAUUCAUAUAGUGAUUUAUAUGGAGGAUUACACACAGUGAACAGUGAGAGUCAAUUGAUUUAUAUAGAUAGGGAUUAUAACAUCAACAAACUGUUGAAGGAUAUAAAAAUAACCACCACAUUUAUAGAGAGAACGGACUCUACAUGGAGACCACAGUGUGUGUACUGGUCCCCGUCCACUGGGGAUCUACUGGUCGGGAUGUAUAAUGAUGAUACUGGGACAGGCAAGGUAACCCGGUACAACCAGAGCGGGCAACUGAUACAGUGCAUACAACACGACAACACAGGACUGGAACUGUAUAUUACACCUAACUAUAUAACAGAGAACAACAAUGGGGAUGUCGUGGUGUCUGACUAUAGAGAUGUAGUUGUGACAGAAUGCGAAGGAAGACAUCGUUUCUCCUACACAGGACCUCCAUCAGGAUCAGGACUAGAGCCACGUGGAAUCUGUACUGACGCGCUGUCACACAUCCUGGUGUGUGAUGGAUGGACCAACACAGUACAGAUGAUAGACAGGGAUGGUCAGUUCCUGUCACAUCUACUGACAAAAUCACAAGAGAGUGAGCUAUGGAGCCUGAUCGAGUUAUGAUGUCAAUACUCACCGUCUCUGGGUCGGAUCAUACAACAACAAGGUGUGUGUCUACAGGUAUAUCACCAGACAGGACGCUCUGACACUCACAGAUGAACACAGACCCCGUCCUGAUGGGGAGGUCUUGUACAGCUCAACACCAGCCGUAUAAUGGAGAUAGCUGGGAUAUUGACAGGUUGUAGAUGUACAAAUCUAGUCUGCUCUCAAAACCACACAUGUUGUUUGUCACUUUUGUUCAACAUCUGCAGCUGAAAUUCACAUGGACUGUAAUACUGACUCCUGUUUAUUUCACACUUUGUGAUCAUCCAAAGAUGGCUGUCUGUUGCUAUAUAUAUGUGGAAUUAUGUGUUAUGGAAAUGCAUUGCAGAGAUAUAUUUUUUAAUUAAAUAAUUGAAAUAAAAUUCAAAUAAUAUAACUU